AUAUUAGGUUAAGUUAUUAAGGGCGUAUGGUGGAUGCCUUGGCACUAGGAGCCGAUGAAGGACGUGACUAACUGCGAUAUGCUUCGGGGAGUUGUAAGUAAACUAUGAUCCGGAGAUUUCCGAAUGGGGAAACCUAACAGGUUUUACCGCCUGUUAUCACUAAGUGAAUUCAUAGCUUAGUUGAAGGUAGACGUGGGGAACUGAAACAUCUAAGUACCCAC
rnacentral:rRNA from 1 species